rnacentral:rRNA from 1 species
UUUUUAUGAGAGUUUGAUCCUGGCUCAGGACGAACGCUGGCGGCGUGCCUAAUACAUGCAAGUCGAACGCUUC